GGGCCUACUGUACCUCUGUCACUAUGGAAACUAGUUCCCUGGUAGCAAUUAGGCUUAGCAACAUCCACAAUGGUGCAAUGCACAUGGAUUCUGGCUCUGGUAAUGGACAGGGAGCAGUCCCUGGAGACAGGGCCACACUUACCCUAAUGACAGUCUCCGGGGUCUUCAUCCAGCCUGAGCACCCUGCAUGGAGCCCGGCCUGAAGUGCUCCAGCUCAGAGGAGGAGGAGGGAGAGGGAUGGCUCAGGGGACUGAGCUGGAAAAAAAAAGGCCUCAGAAGGGAAAUGGAGGCCCAGAAAGCUUUGGUGAGCAGCUCGAGAUUACAUAGGACAUGGAGACCAGAACUCAUGUUUCCUCAAAUAGUUCAUUUCCAGGGGGCUUUUAGGCUAUUAAUUCUAUAAUCUGCCCUCUGUCUGCCUCAGGGACUCUCCCCUCCAACCCCCAUUUGGACCAUGAACUGAUGCCAAUGGCACCAAGGAAGCAUCAACUGAUACUGGGCAGAAGGGCAGGGCAGUGGCCCCUGGGAGUCUUCAUGGCUCCUCUGGCAGAAAGUACCUGGAGGCAUCAGCUCAUGGACCUGGAGCAUAUCAGCAAGGAACAGAGAUAAACUGUACCGCAUCACCACCCUGGCACUACUCAUGAGAAACUUUCCCAACCAUUAUGCUUGGUUGACUUGGCCGGAAAGGAGUUAACACACAACAUGUGAGGAGUACACUGAGUAGGGAGCUGUGUUCUUGGGUGACCUGUGGGUAUCUGGGCCCAUUUAAUGCACCAAGUCUUCAAAUAGUGGCAGCCAUCACAGGCUCUUCUGUCUGCUUGUGCAUGCACAUGGGGAUCCUUCACUUGGUGGCUUCUCCCCAAGCAAACGUUUUUAGCCCAUCCUGGAUUCUCCUCACUGCCCUCUCUACCCUGGGAAAUGCAACCCACAUUGUCCAAGUCAGACCUAAUUAGACCAGCAAAUCAGUGGCACUCAAGUCAUCACAGCACACUCCAAGCACAAGAGGAAAUGCUGUGUAGGUUAUCCUGUGCGCUGCUUGUUGUGUCUGUUUGUGUUUCCUUGGAUUAUCCAUUCUCUGCUCCCUGCCUUCCAUUACCUCACUAAUGGAGAGGCAGGAUGCAGUCCUCCACAGGCCAGCAUUCAUCUUCCCAGUCUGACCCUCUCGGAGGCUAUUACGCUGCUGUCGCAAGAUCGACGAGGGGAGAAAAAUGAAAACAGUGCACAGGGAACAAUGGAGGGCAAAUGGGACUCUUUUAGAACCGGAUCCACUGAUACGUCAGGCCAAGGAGAAAUGACCACAAGCUCUGAAAAGUGGAGAGCUCCCCCAGACGGCAAAGCCAGGUGAGUGGGCUUCCCCACUGGGCUGCCCACAGUAAGAGGCCAGGCUGGUGGGGAUAGAAGGGUGUCUGUCUGCAGAAGGCUGGGCAGCCUAGGCCCCACAAAAUGAGAGGAAGGUUACUGAGGUCAUUGCUGCCCCUGCCUCAGUUAAAAAAUUAGAAAUCCUCCCCACCCAGCUCUGUUUGUCUCCCCACAAAGCAUUGCAGAAGAAAACACGGAAGCCGCCAGCACUAUUAUGCAUUCAUGAUUCCAGCUUCAACCAGUCCUCUCUGCUGCAAUCCCUUUAUUCCUCCUCUGCAGCUGCCCCGGCACCUCUGCACAGUCCUUUUCUGAAUCUGCCCCUCACCGUGCUCCCCACCUGCACGCCGUCCUCAGAACAGAUUGCCUUGCCUGACCUCCUGAGGCCGACGGAGAUGGUGAUGUGACCUCCUUUGCCCUCCAUCACUGUGCCUCCCACACCUCUGCGCAGCUCGUUCAUUCUCUCUCCCUCCACUCUGACUUAAGGGAAGAGGAAUUUUAAAACCAACCUCAUCCCUUCCCACCUCCUCAGGAAACUCACUCCUUUGCUUACCCUCUCUCCACUUUUAAAAAUAACGAUAUAAAUGCCCCUUUCGCCUGUGAUUCCUUCUGAGCACAGACCCUUCUUGCUUAAGCCCCUGUGAGUUAAUUUUCAGUCUCACAGCUCUUCUCAAUCCAACAGUAUUUUUGCAGCUUUCAGCCUCGGGAAGCUCUUGAUGGGCUCGUCUGCCACGCUACCAACUUCCUUCUUGGAAGUCCCUCCCCGUCUUCUGCGUCUGCCUUGUGCCCAUUCUCCCUCUGGGGUCAGUCCUCUGCCGUCCGGCAGGCCCAUCCUCCACUCCCCAUUAUGGUCCCUCUUUACAGCCUCAUCUGGUCUCUCAUUACACUCUGCAGUAGCCUGAUGGUCAGCUCUUUAAUCAAAUCCCAUUCAGUUCCCUAAAGUACCAAAGUUCCCCAUGAGUCCCUAGAACAGUGUCCUAAAUCAGACACGUCACCCUCUCUACCCCAAUACUGGCCCCACUUCCUCACCGGUCUAUCCUCCCCAGCAGUCCAUUUCAUCUUCCCAGGUGAGGUUCCAUUCUCUUUAGGAAGAUAAUGCUUCAACUCCUCCUUUGAAUUGCCCCUAACUUGGAUCACAGAUGGACGUGAAAGAAAAAAAAAGAAAAAAAAUUUAAAAAGAAUUGCCUCUAACAACAGAGUGAUCAUGCAUUCCCGGGGGUCUCAGGGCGCAAUCCCACAUGGCUCGCCAAAAGGCCAAAACUUCUUUAAAGUCUCAUUUUUCCUUUUUAUUUUUUUGGAGACAGGUUCUCCUCCUGUCACCCAGGCUGGUCUUGAACUCCUGGGCUCUAAGUGAUCCUCCCACCUCCGCCUUCCAAAGUACUGGGGUUACAGGUAUGAGCACCCCCACAGCCAGCCCUUAAUUGCUUUAGGGGUGAGUCGACAUCAUUAGUAGUUGCUUGAGGUCAAGACCCACAGUUUUACCCUUUUUAUCUGUCCCUCCUACUUGUGGCCCAUGGUAAGGCCUUGAUUGGCCAAAACCAUGGGUUCCCCUUGACGCCACAGGGCACUCUCUGUGAAAGGCCCACCCUGG
rnacentral:lncRNA from 1 species